CCUAAGGCAUGAUUUCUAAAUGUGCACAAGAGUUGCAGAAUUAUUGAAAUGUGACUUUUGAAGGUACAAGAGUAACAUGUUUUAUGCCAAUGUUGUUAUUGCCCAAAGAGCAGGAUUUCUACCUGAUAGACAUAAACCAUGGAUUAGUGAUGGAUGAGAUGUUAAAGCAAGAAACAUAGGUCCUAAGAGCAUAAUUUAUAAUUCAUGUAUGAAUCCUGAGCAUGGUUUCUAUUGCACAAUUAGGAAUAUAAUCCUAAUAACAUGGUUUCUACCCUUAACAACUAUAACAUGCAUAUUUACCCCAACCUUUUUCACUAGCCAAUCCAAUACUUGCUAACAACAAGUUAUUACAGACCAGCAUUUAUGUGACUUACAUAAGAAGAAAUGAAAAUAAGAAGUUACACUAUAGGAAGCCUAAUUAGAACUUCCUCCCUGAGUUACGAAAUAAACCACCUCAAGUGCCAAGAUUGUUCUAUAGCCUUUCUCAUACCUGGGUGUGUCAGAGUUUCCUACGGACCUCAAGGGAUCCUUGGCAGUUCUCACACCCAGAUUGCAUAACCAAGGCAGAGUAAGUGUGGUGUGGAAAGGCCAGUUUUUAUGCGUCCAAGUUCAGAGGGACCGCAAGGGUCCCAAGGCAAGGCUUACACAAAAUAGGCAGAACCUAGUAGUCUAAGAGUAUAUGUGAGAGUGCUUGACAUAGAUUUAAAAGAGUUAGAGUUGGAAAAUAAUUUUGAAAUAGCGUGUUUGAAAUGUUUGCAAAACAACAGAAGAAUUGCAUAGGGAAAAACAGUUUGGAAAGGAGGUGAGAAAAAGAGCAACAACAAUUUGGAACAAACCAGCACACACAAAACAAAUCCAAAGCAUAGUACCAUUCCAACAUUCACAAGCAGGGAAAUAAGGGGUUGGGGACAUAGAGGACCCAAGUCAGAAACACAUAAACAUGGCUGAGAAGAGAUACAUAUAGACCAGCAAGUAGAAAAAACAAGUAGGGACUGAUUGGCCUUUAGAACACAAAGAAUUACGUUAAAGAGUUAACAAGGGAAUCAUGCUUAAAAUUAGAAUAGUAAUAAGACAUAGGGACAUGGUAUAGGAGUAGUCAUUGUCACACCCCCCUUUUUCGCACCCCGAUGGCGCAAGGGAGUUUUUCCAAUUAAAGGACAAUCGAAUGAAAUUUGCUUAUUUAUUUCACAGUCGCCACUUGGGAGAUUUAGGGUGUCCCAAGUCACCAGUUUUAAUCCCGAAUCGAGGAAAGGAAUUGACUCUAAAUUACAGUUUGCGUACCAGAUAUCCGGAUAAGAAAUUCUGUUAACCCGGGAGAAGGUGUUAGGCAUUCCCGAGUUUUGUGGUUCUAGCACAGUAGCUCAACUGUUAUAUUCAACUUAUUUACCUGAUUUUUACAUGUUGUAACUUAUGUGCCGAUUUUAACUUUUGACCGCUUUUAUUCAAUUUAUUACAGGAAAUUGAACGUCGUCUGAAACAUAUCUUUGGAUUGUGCCGCAUGAAAUGAACCCGCAAUCCUAAACACGUCCGAUUCGAUAUUUUGAGAUUUGGAUUUGGGUCGCAUGAAAUGUACACGUGAGUUUAGGGAAGAUAACGUUAUUAUUUUGGGGAAGAUUGUGCAAUUAUCUAAACGGCCCAUCCGGACUCUAAAUAUUUAAAUAUAUACAUUUAUUGAGGGCUCCACAACUUAUAUGUAUUUUUAUUGGGCGAUGCUCGUCUCAUUUUUAUUAUUUAAAAGGACAAAUCCAAAACAACUACAGUAUUAAUAAAUUAUUCUUUUGAAGACUACUACAAGAUUAUUGCAAGGCUUAACAGUUAUGGAAUGAGAUGACACUUACUUUAUUUGCAUUUUUCGUAAGAUCCAUUUAAAACGACCCAGUACAAUACCACUCAGUGGUGUCUGGGGAGGGUAGUGUGUACGCAGCCUUACCCGAAAUUAACUCGUGUUUCUUCCCACCAAAUAACAACAACAACUACCCAGUAUACUCCCACCAGGUGGGGUCUGGAAAGUACGACCCAGUACAAUACCACUCAGUGGUGUCUGUGGAGGGUAGUGUGUACGCAGCCUUCCCCCUUCCCUGGGGUAGAUAGGCUGUUUCCAAAUAGACCCCCGGCAUAAAUCCCCAGAAUUUGCUCCUGGGGAGACUCGAACUCACAACCUCUCGGUUGUAAGAUCCAUUGUCUUUUUUAUAUAAAUCUAAUUCUCCGAACAUUUACUACUACUUCUACUUCCCAAUUCAAGUCCAUAUUUUAAAAAAAGUUCUAUCUCAGUGAGUGGCUAACCAAACUUAGCCGCAAACUUCAAUUAUAAAAAGUAGGAUUAGGAACGAGAUUCUAGGAAACAUUAAUCGUUAUGAACACAAACUAACAGAGAUUAAUCUAAUAGUCAUAAAUCACAACGAGAAUCUAGGAAAACAUUAAUCAUCAAGCAAAAUGGAUAAAAUAAUUGAGAUAACAAACUAGAAAAAUGCUAGCACCACACUUAUGACCACAAACUAUAGCAAACAAUUUAGCCUAAAAUAUUUGUCAAAAUAAUCAAUGAAACAAUAAACCAAUCAUAGAUCCAUCCAGAGAAGAUAGAUAGCAAAAAAAAUUCAACCUUAUAGCAAACAUAAUAUGGAUUGAAAUUCGAGAACUGGAGAACAAGAAAUUGACCUUUUAAUAGCUAAAUAUUCUUCGAUAUAUCAGAAAAACCUACUGUAAAGCUGUAUGAACUAACCACGACCGGAAGCGACACCGAGAAAAUCAAACAAGAUAUCGGACGGACCUCGACGGACUCAACCUCGGAACCGCUGAACAUCAGUUGAUUUCGAGGUUGUUUUCGGCUAUUUUUCCAGCUGAUUUUGGACUAUCUUUGGUGGGUUUUUGGAGAGGAGGGGGACUGGUUCUUUAGAAUGGAGAAGAAUAAGAACCGUCAAGAGGGUCGUCCCUCACUGCCCCUGUAUAUCCUGUAUAUACGGAAUGUAUAUCCAGUGUAUACCCCGUCUCCCAGGUCCCCGACACCGAGAAAAUCAAACAAGAUAUCGAACGGACCUCGACGGCCUCAACCUCAGAACCGCUGGACAUCGGUUGAUUUCGAGGUUGUUUUCGGCUAUUUUUCCAGCUGAUUUUGGACUAUUUUUGGUGCGUUUUUGGAGAGGAGGGGGACUGGUUUUUUAGAAUGGAAAAGAAUAAGAACCGUCAAGAGGGUCGUCCCUCACUGCCCCUGUAUAUCCUAUGUAUACGGAAUGUAUAUCCAGUGUAUACCCCGUCUCCCAGGCCCCUUUUCUUUUCCUCUCUCAAAUCUGAAUCCUUCUAUUAUGUCCAUGUAUUCUAAGUCUAGGGGAAUGGUUGGGUAUGUGGAAAGUGGUUGGGGUAGGUAGAAAAAUGAUUGGAUAGUUAUGGACUAGGUUCGAGAAUUAUGUCUAAAAAUGGUCAUUUGAACCCAAAUGUUAUUUCUUUCCUGGAAAGGAG
rnacentral:lncRNA from 1 species